GUCCUCGUUUUGGCAGUACAUAUACUAAAAUUGGAACAAUACAGAGAAGAUGAGCAUGGCCCCUGUGCAAGGAUAACAUGCAAAUUCGUGAAGUGGUUCAUAUGUCU